CCUCUCAAGUGUAAAAAAACUUGAGAGUGUUAACUUUUACUAUCUCGCCAUUAAUUUUUGUGUAGAUAAUAAAUGAAAAAUAAAAUAAAAUUAAUGGUGAGAUGAUGAAACUUGACACUCUCAAUUUUUUUUACACGAGG
rnacentral:pre_miRNA from 1 species